UUCCGGAAUACAUUAUACGAAUAUGGAUCUUUUAAUUUUUUUUAAACCAAAAGUUCCUCAAAUGGAAUCACAGAAUGAUGAUUUUUUUUUUAAGCAGACUCCGACCAACAAAUAAACAUUAAUCUGGAUGAAGGAGAUCAACUGUGCAGCAGCUAUCCUUCCACCGCUGCUGAGGAUGCUAACAGUGUUAGCACCGGACAGCUAUCGGAGCUAAGCGGAAGUCCUCAAGAUGGACGUUGGUCACCACCACUUGCAAAAAACACCUGUCAGGCUUAUUGGGAGUGGAACAGAGAAGUUUCAGGCUGGCUUGAUGAACCCUUGUGGUUGGAAUACAACUGCUGCUCCCUACCUGGUGAGGCUGUUUACCUCCUGGACGCCGCCCUGCAGACCGGAGCUCUGACAGGUGGUGUCUCCAGAUGAGCUCGUCUCUUACGACACCCUGACAUCCUAAAAGGAGUCACGCAGACCAGAUGGAGGAGCGCCACACCCACAGCAGAAGGAGGGCAAACAAGACGGCCAGGGAUCCCUUGUUAAACAUUUGGUGGGAAAAUUCAUCAUCAGGAGCAGUGAUGCGCAGAAAGUCGACAUGUUUUGGUCGUGAUGGAUGAAAGAGAGACCUGCAGCGGGACAGAGACUCCUCCACUUCCUGCUGCCAGAUCUCCUCCUGCCUCUGCAGGGCUUCCUCUGCAGGCAACAAGACGCAAACCGUUUUAAAUGUCAUUAAUUUAGAGAUUUUUCAUUAGCUAUUUUAUUUUUCAGGGGGAUAAGGCACAAAUGUUGCACAAUAUUAUUUUGAUGGAUAUUGCUUUCUGUGUUUGUACCAAACCUCAGAAUUUUAUGUUAAUCAAUGUUGAUUUUAGGAUUGUAAAUUGCAAUCAGCUGUGUUUCCAUUUACCAUAUAAUUGUGCAAUAUGAUAUUUUCAAAAUAAAGUUGCUUAAUGAAAACACACC